rnacentral:rRNA from 1 species
GAUGAACGCUGGCGGCGUGCCUAAUACAUGCAAGUCGAGCGAACAGACGAGGAGCUUGCUCCUCUGACGUUAGCGGCGGACGGGUGAGUAACACGUGGAUAACCUACCUAUAAGACUGGGAUAACUUCGGGAAACCGGAGCUAAUACCGGAUAAUAUAUUGAACCGCAUGGUUCAAUAGUGAAAGACGGUUUUGCUGUCACUUAUAGAUGGAUCCGCGCCGCAUUAGCUAGUUGGUAAGGUAACGGCUUACCAAGGCAACGAUGCGUAGCCGACCUGAGAGGGUGAUCGGCUACACUGGAACUGAGACACGGUCCAGACUCCUACGGGAGGCAGCAGUAGGGAAUCUUCCGCAAUGGGCGAAAGCCUGACGGAGCAACGCCGCGUGAAUGAUGAAGGUCUUCGGAUCGUAAAACUCUGUUAUUAGGGAAGAACAAAUGUGUAAGUAACUAUGCACGUCUUGACGGUACCUAAUCAGAAAGCCACGGCUAACUACGUG